UAGAACAGGAAUAUUGAGUGUUAAAGAAGAAUUUGUAUUUUCUUGAUCGUGUUUGUAUUCUUUUGCUGACUAAAGAGGUUGAAGUGUAGGCACAAGCAAGAACAUUGUCCUGAUCUCUUGGUGGCUUUGUGAAUGAAAUGUGUCUCCUGGAGGGAUGUUGUGAAAGGGAAAAUAAGCUCUGUUUGGAUUGACCUCUUGUGUGGGAUUCACCAGGCCAGGAACUUUUCUCACAGCAUCUGAUUCAUUUUCCCUGCCCACUACAGGUCACAUAAAACAUGUAUUCAGUGGAGCUGCUCCUGAGUGCCUGAGAGGACUGGAUUUUCUUCACUCAAACCACAUGAUCCACCGAGGUCUGAAGAGCUGCAACAUCCUUCUCGGAACCAAUGGCUCUGUCAAGCUGGCUGACUUUGGCCUCUUUGCUCAGCUCACUCCUGAGCAGAGUAGACAAAGCUCCGUGGCCAGCACUUCUGGGUGGAUGGCGCCUGAAGUGGUGACAGGUCAACCAUAUGGCCCCAAAGUGGACAUAUGGUCUUUUGGAAUCGUGGGCAUUGAAAUGGUGGAACGAGAAGCUCCUUACUGGAAAGAAACUUCUGGCAUGGUAAGGAGCAAAUACUGACUGAUCCCUCUGUCUUUCUCACCUGUCCCGUGUCCUGUGUGCCACUGGACAAAAUCCCAUUGCCAUCUGCUGGCACCACUUCCACCAAGAUCACCUCCUAAAAAUGUCCCUGCAGCACAUCAGAAUCUGCUGUAGCUUUGGUUGCAUCAGAGGGGAAGUGGCAGUUCAGAAACCUAAGCAGUUCAGACACCUAACCAGUUCAGGAACCUGCCAUUUAGGCCUCCAGCCAUGCCUGGCAUUUCUCAUUUGCUUUUUGAACAGUGUUGGAGCUCUGUCUCUGAAGGACAAAAAAUUUUCAGUGGAAUGGUUGGAUGUGUGAUAAAUAUCCUUCAAAAUGGAGGUUCAAUCAUCCUAGUUUCAAUUGUACAGCAAAAGAAAACUGGAAAUUGAAAAGGAAGAGAAAAUAGAUAAGAAAAAAAAGGAAACAGAAGAGAAAAAAAUAAAAGAAAGAGAAAGAGAAAGAGAAAGAGAAAGAGAAAGAGAAAGAAAAAGAAAAAGAAAAAGAAAAAGAAAAAGAAAAAGAAAAAGAAAAAGAAAAAGAAAAAGAAAAAGAAAAAGAAAAAGAAAAAG